UACGUAGGGCGCAAGCGUUUGUCCGGAAUUAUUGGGCGUAAAGAGCUCGUAGGCGGCCUGUUACGUCUGCUGUGAAAUCCCGGGGCUUAACCCCGGGCGUGCAGUGGAUACGGGCAGGCUGGAGGCAGGCAGGGGAGAACGGAAUUCCCGGUGUAGCGGUGAAAUGCGCAGAUAUCAGGAGGAACACCAAUGGCGAAGGCAGCUCGCUGGGACGGUACUGACGCUGAGGCGCGAAAGCGUGGGUAGCAAACAGG
rnacentral:rRNA from 1 species